CUUCACUGGAAAGAUUACUGGGAGUGUUCCAACUAGAUCUCCUCUUAAGCAAAUGACUGACAAACAGUGGGGAGAUCUUGUGAAGCACUGGUCUGAUCCAAAGAAUAUGAAUUUGGCUAAACAGAAUCAGAAAAACCGCGGUAAACUACUUUUACCUAGCCGUACGGGAUCUCGUAACCUUAUAGUGCACAUUCGGCAAAAAAUGUUACAUAAUGCAAGUAAAAGGGAACCAAACAAAGAGAUGACUCUGC